UGCAGUCGAGCGAACGGAUAAGGAGCUUGCUCCUUUGAAGUUAGCGGCGGACGGGUGAGUAACACGUGGGUAACCUACCUAUAAGACUGGGAUAACUUCGGGAAACCGGAGCUAAUACCGGAUAACAUUUAGAACCGCAUGGUUCUAAAGUGAAAGAUGGUUUUGCUAUCACUUAUAGAUGGACCCGCGCCGUAUUAGCUAGUUGGUAAGGUAACGGCUUACCAAGGCGACGAUACGUAGCCGACCUGAGAGGGUGAUCGGCCACACUGGAACUGAGACACGGUCCAGACUCCUACGGGAGGCAGCAGUAGGGAAUCUUCCGCAAUGGGCGAAAGCCUGACGGAGCAACGCCGCGUGAGUGAUGAAGGGUUUCGGCUCGUAAAACUCUGUUAUUAGGGAAGAACAAAUGUGUAAGUAACUGUGCACAUCUUGACGGUACCUAAUCAGAAAGCCACGGCUAACUACGUGCCAGCAGCCGCGGUAAUACGUAGGUGGCAAGCGUUAUCCGGAAUUAUUGGGCGUAAAGCGCGCGUAGGCGGUUUCUUAAGUCUGAUGUGAAAGCCCACGGCUCAACCGUGGAGGGUCAUUGGAAACUGGGAAACUUGAGUGCAGAAGAGGAAAGUGGAAUUCCAUGUGUAGCGGUGAAAUGCGCAGAGAUAUGGAGGAACACCAGUGGCGAAGGCGACUUUCUGGUCUGUAACUGACGCUGAUGUGCGAAAGCGUGGGGAUCAAACAGGAUUAGAUACCCUGGUAGUCCACGCCGUACACGAUGAGUGCU
rnacentral:rRNA from 2 species